ensembl:lncRNA
GAACCAUUCAUGUGAAAUGUAAUGAACAUUGGCUUACAUCACCAAAACAUAAUAUUUUCACUGUAUUCGGUUUAACUAUCAGUUAAACCUAUAGCAAACAACGCAAGAGACGUGUUUCAAAUCACCCUUAGAAGUCAUGAUGUUACUGUAGAUUACCCAACUAAACUGACAGAAAACCUAUAAUCAAUGAAGACAUCCUCCAACAUCAGUCAUGCAAAAAAACGGUUAGAUUUUUCAGAUAUAAUUGUAACAUAAGUGUACAGUUUUUAUUUAAUUAGGCAAGUCAGUUAUGAACAAAUUCUUAUUUACAAUGACAGCCCACCCUGGCCAAACCCUAACCUGGACAACGCUGGGCCAAUUGUGCGCCGCCCUAUGGGACUCCCAAUCACAGGCGGUUGUGAUACAGCCUGGAAUUGAACCAGGGUCUGUAGUGACGCCUCCAGCACUGAGAUGCAGUGUCUUAGACCGCUGAACCAGGGUCUGUAGUGACGCCUCCAGCACUGAGAUGCAGUGUCUUAGACCGCUGAACCAGGGUCUGUAGUGACGCCUCCAGCACUGAGAUGCAGUGCCUUAGACCGCUGAACCAGGGUCUGAAGUGAUGCCUCCAGCACUAGAAAUAGCAUAAACUCCUCUCUACAUGAGGCCUGGCACUAGUCUUCAAAGUAUCAUACAGAAUCAUAUUAUCAAUCCAGACUGAUAGUUGCACAGCACCACAACAGUAGAUAAAUGAACAGUUUAGGGUCAACCUUUAGGUUUAGAGAAUUUAACUCUGGACUGACAAGCCCCCCCUCCAAAACCAGUUCCCCUCUAAUCAGGAACUGGUUUAGACCUGGGACACCAGAUGGGUGCAAUUAAUUAUCAGAUAGAACAGGAAACCAGCAGGCUACAGACCUUGUAGGGUAAGAGUUGAAUAUCCCUGGUUUAGAGCACACAUCCAUGCACUCUUGAGAAUCACAGGUACAUGAACGUAGCCUCAACCCGUUUGAACAUGUACUAACACGCCAAAAAAUACCCCCCCCCCCCAAAGACGUCUCAUUCUUGAUGAAACCAUAGCGUUUGACAUUGUCACAGUGUUGACUGCACCCAAGACUGUUGUCACAGUGUUGACUGCACCCAAGACUGUUGUCACAGUGUUGACUGCACCCAAGACUGUUGUCACAGUGUUGACUGCAUCCAAGACUGUUGUCACAGUGUUGACUGUUCAAGACAAGACCUUUGUUACAGUGAAGAAGUGGAAGGGAACUGUACAGCUGAAGCGUUUCCCCCCCAAAUCCUUCAAAUAAACACUAAGCUAUAGGUGAAUGUUACUCAUUAAAUCAGAUAAUGGACCGCUUGGUAGAAGGUUUGUCUUAAAUGCUACACUAUAUAGGGAAUAGGGCUCCAUUGGACACCGACUCGGUCUGCUCUGCAGAGCAACACUACACCCCUCAUCAGGGGUCCUGAGGAGUGAGGGUUCAACCACAGUAGCCUGUUCUGUCUUUGGUAGGCUAGGUGGUUACCAGAUUGGUGUGUCCAUUAGCAUCUCUUGACUUGUUAAACAUGAUGACGGGAUAGUUAGCAUCUCUUGACUUGUUAAACACAAUGAUGACGGGAUGGUUAGCAUCUUGACUUGCUAAACACAAUGACGGGAUGGUUAGCAUCUCGACUUGCUAAACACAAUGACGGGAUGGUUAGCAUCUCGACUUGCUAAACACAAUGACGGGAUGGUUAGCAUCUCGACUUGCUAAACGCAAUGACGGGAUGGUUAGCAUCUUGACUUGCUAAACACAAUGACGGGAUGGUUAGCAUCUUGACUUGCUAAACACAAUGACGGGAUGGUUAGCAUCUUGACUUGCUAAACACAAUGACGGGAUGGUUAGCAUCUUGACUUGCUAAACACAAUGACGGGAUGGUUAGCAUCUCGACUUGCUAAACACAAUGACGGGAUGGUUAGCAUCUCGACUUGCUAAACACAAUGAUGGGAUGGUUAGCAUCUUGACUUGCUAAACACAAUGACGGGAUGGUUAGCAUCUUGACUUGCUAAACACAAUGAUGACGGGAUGGUUAGAAAGGAUCUGUAGCGAUAACAACACUUAGACAUUCUGAUUUUCUCUACAUUUCUUUGGUUGCGUCCCAGAUGGCACCCUAUUCCCUAUAUAGUGACCAGGGCCCAUAGUAGUGCACUACACAGGGAAUAGGACACAGUCCUGUAUCUAUUGAAGAGACAGGAUGAGGUGCAAACAGACAAAAGCAGCUUUUUCAAAAAGGCAACAUAGGUAGAAAAAUCCUCAUUUGCAUGGUUCCAAUGGAGAGGUGUUUGAAACGACCUGAAUGCAUCACCGUUAGCCUGGCUUGUCCCCUCUAACUGGUGAUAAUGACCUACGAGUUGAAGACAGCACAGAUCAUGAACUCAGGCUUAAAUCACCAUAGCCUUUUAAUUAGAAGUGAUGUAGAUCUAUAACAGAAUGAAAAGAGAGUCAACCUCUUAUCGCUCCCUUUAUACCAAACGACCGCUGUUGUCCUCCUACUGAUGGGCCAGCUCAACUCUGAGGCCUGAUUCUUUCUGGAAUAUUUACUUAUAUUGUAAAUCCAAUCCUGACAGUUAAAAUCUGUGUUGUUUAAGAAGACAAAGGGUUAAAUUAGUUGACUCUUUCUUCACUCUGCUCACCCUAACCCCCCCUGGCCUCCCCUAACACAGGAUCUGACCUCACAGGGCUCAACAUGGAAAAUACUAAAACUACAAAACAAUAUUCAUCAACAUCUUAAAAGUAAUAUUCAUUUUUUUUAUAGAAUCAUGGAAAAAAUAAAAAUGACUUAUUGACUGGUCCCUCUUAGGUCAGUUUGACCUUUUCUCUGACCGGUUUAUAUUAUAACUGAAGCUUGACAAUCCUUUCUGCUGCGGUGUGAUGCGACUGGCUGGCUGUUCACCACAGACAUAGAAGUCUGUCUCAAAUGGAACCCUACUCAUCUAGUAACGCAGUACAUGGUGAAUAUGAUGCCACCUGAGACGGGGUUCGUUUUGAGUCGGAUCCAUAGGAGCUUCCUGGAUGGACAGUCGUGUGGCCUUCUGGAGAAUCUGUCCCCCAUGUGAAGGCUAGUAUAGAACACUGCUACAUCAUCACCCCACUGAUACACCUGCCAUACACCUCGUACUCUGUCCCCGUACAUUUAACUGGAACUUUCCAUGCGCCUUGGGCCAUCUAAAUGUUACCACCGACCAAAAACACUCCGGACAUGAGAUUUAAUCAAGACUUCCCAUCCAGACUGCCAACAUCUCUUCUAUAUGAAUAAAACCCUUAAACCAGUAGGAAAGCUUUCUCCCUCCCUAUAGCCUGUCUACCUUAUCCCUCCACCUGUAUCACCACCCAGCCUACCUUAUUCCUCCACCUGUACCACCACCCAGUCUAACUUAUUCCUCCACCUGUAUCACCAACCAGUCUACCUUAUUCCUCCACCUGUAUCACCAACCAGUCUACCUUAUUCCUCCACCUGUAUCACCAACCAGUCUACCUUAUUCCUCCACCUGUAUCACCACCCAGUCUACCUUAUUCCUCCACCUGUAUCACUACCCAGUCUACCUUAUUCCUCCACCUGUACCACCACCCAGUCUACCUUAUUCCAGUCUACCUUGUCCCUCCACAUGUAUCACAACCCAGUCUACCUUAU